GAUGAACGCUGGCGGCGUGCCUAAUACAUGCAAGUCGAGCGAACGGACGAGAAGCUUGCUUCUCUGAUGUUAGCGGCGGACGGGUGAGUAACACGUGGAUAACCUACCUAUAGGACUGGGAUAACUUCGGGAAACCGGAGCUAAUACCGGAUGAUAUUUUGAACCGCAUGGUUCAAAAGUGAAAGACGGUCUUGCUGUCACUUAUAGAUGGAUCCGCGCUGCAUUAGCUAGUUGGUAAGGUAACGGCUUACCAAGGCAACGAUGCAUAGCCGACCUGAGAGGGUGAUCGGCCACACUGGAACUGAGACACGGUCCAGACUCCUACGGGAGGCAGCAGUAGGGAAUCUUCCGCAAUGGGCGAAAGCCUGACGGAGCAACGCCGCGUGAGUGAUGAAGGUCUUCGGAUCGUAAAACUCUGUUAUUAGGGAAGAACAUAUGUGUAAGUAACUGUGCACAUCUUGACGGUACCUAAUCAGAAAGCCACGGCUAACUACGUGCCAGCAGCCGCGGUAAUACGUAGGUGGCAAGCGUUAUCCGGAAUUAUUGGGCGUAAAGCGCGCGUAGGCGGUUUUUUAAGUCUGAUGUGAAAGCCCACGGCUCAACCGUGGAGGGUCAUUGGAAACUGGAAAACUUGAGUGCAGAAGAGGAAAGUGGAAUUCCAUGUGUAGCGGUGAAAUGCGCAGAGAUAUGGAGGAACACCAGUGGCGAAGGCGACUUUCUGGUCUGUAACUGACGCUGAUGUGCGAAAGCGUGGGGAUCAAACAGGAUUAGAUACCCUGGUAGUCCACGCCGUAAACGAUGAGUGCUAAGUGUUAGGGGGUUUCCGCCCCUUAGUGCUGCAGCUAACGCAUUAAGCACUCCGCCUGGGGAGUACGACCGCAAGGUUGGAACUCAAAGGAAUUGACGGGGACCCGCACAAGCGGUGGGGCAUGUGGUUUAAUUCGAAGCAACGCGAAGAACCUUACCAAAUCUUGACAUCCUUUGACAACUCUAGAGAUAGAGCCUUCCCCUUCGGGGGACAAAGUGACAGGUGGUGCAUGGUUGUCGUCAGCUCGUGUCGUGAGAUGUUGGGUUAAGUCCCGCAACGAGCGCAACCCUUAAGCUUAGUUGCCAUCACUAAGUUGGGCACUCUAAGUUGACUGCCGGUGACAAACCGGAGGAAGGUGGGGAUGACGUCAAAUCAUCAUGCCCCUUAUGAUUUGGGCUACACACGUGCUACAAUGGACAAUACAAAGGGCAGCGAAACCGCGAGGUCAAGCAAAUCCCAUAAAGUUGUUCUCAGUUCGGAUUGUAGUCUGCAACUCGACUACAUGAAGCUGGAAUCGCUAGUAAUCGUAGAUCAGCAUGCUACGGUGAAUACGUUCCCGGGUCU
rnacentral:rRNA from 1 species